ensembl:snoRNA
GUACCCCAUUUAAGGUUGACACAGUGCUUUAAGAGGCUAACACAGAAGGGUAAAGUAAGUCUCCACAGCUGGACUCCUGCCUGGAGUCACAGCU